UUUCCGUAGGUGAACCUGCGGAAGGAUCAUUAACAUGUUGGAGUGGCCUCCGGGCCCGUCCUCCAUAAACCCACCUCUGCGUACCUUUUCCUGUUGCUUCCGCGGGACAUCGAGGCUAGCCUCGGACGUCUGGCGAGGAGGGAUGCCGUAUUCCUCCGUAGCCACGGCGGAGCGCCCGCGGGAGGUUAUCCGAAGAAACCCAUCUGCAGUUGCAAUCAGCGUCUGAAAAACAUAAUAGUUACAACUUUCAACAACGGAUCUCUUGGUUCUG
rnacentral:misc_RNA from 1 species